UACGUAGGGUGCAAGCGUUAAUCGGAAUUACUGGGCGUAAAGCGUGCGCAGGCGGUUUUGUAAGUCUGUCGUGAAAUCCCCCGGGCUCAACCUGGGAAUGGCGAUGGAGACUGCAAGGCUAGAGUUUGGCAGAGGGGGGUAGAAUUCCACGUGUAGCAGUGAAAUGCGUAGAUAUGUGGAGGAACACCGAUGGCGAAGGCAGCCCCCUGGGUCAAAACUGACGCUCAUGCACGAAAGCGUGGGGAGCAAACAGG
rnacentral:rRNA from 1 species